rnacentral:rRNA from 1 species
CCUACGGGUCGCAGCAGUGGGGAAUAUUGGGCAAUGGGCGCAAGCCUGACCCAGCAACGCCGCGUGAAGGAAGAAGGCUUUCGGGUUGUAAACUUCUUUUAAGAGGGAAGAGCAGAAGACGGUACCUCUUGACUCAGCCACGGCUCACUACGUGCCAGCAGCCGCGGUAAUACGAAGGUGGCAAGCGUUUUCCGGAUUUCCUGGGUGUCACGGGCGUGCAGCCGGGAAGACAAGUCCGAUGUGAAAUCCCGCGGGUCAACCGCGGAACUGCAUUUGAAACUGUUGUUCUUGAGUACAGGAGAGGUCAUCGGAAUGCCUUGUGUAGCGGUGAAAUGCGUAGAUAUAAGGAAGAACACCAGUGGCGAAGGCGGAUGACUGGACGGCAACUGACGGUGAGGCGCGAAAGCGUGGGGAGCAAACAGGAGUAGAUACCCUUGUAGUC